rnacentral:lncRNA from 1 species
CAAUGGCUUAACAAGUAUCACAGAUGAGGAAACAGACUUGGAGAGGUUAAGUGACAUGCUCAAGACAACACUGCUGACAGGGUCUUGCUACGUACGUUGCCCAGGUUGGAAUGCAGUGGCGUGAUCAUGGCUCACUGUAGCCUCGACCUCCUGGGCUCAAGUGAUCCUCCCGCCUCCGCCUACCAAGUAGCUAGGACCACAGGCGAAGCCACCACG